rnacentral:rRNA from 1 species
AUUGAACGCUGGCGGCAGGCCUAACACAUGCAAGUCGAACGAGUGGCGGACGGGUGAGUAAUGUCUGGGAAACUGCCCGAUGGAGGGGGAUAACUACUGGAAACGGUAGCUAAUACCGCAUACCCUCGGAUGUGCCCAGAUGGGAUUAGCUAGUAGGUGGGGUAACGGCUCACCUAGGCGACGAUCCCUAGCUGGUCUGAGAGUAUGACCAGCAACACUGGACAUGCGACACGGUCCAGACGCCUACGUGAGGCAGAAGUGGUGAAUAUUGCACAAUGGGCGAAAUCCUGAUGCAGCCAUGACGCGUGUAUGAAGAAGGCCUUCGGGUUGGAAAGUACUUUCAGCGAGGAGGCGUUACUCGCAGAAGAAGCACCGGUUAACUCCGUGCCAGCAGCCGAGGUAAUUC